AUUGAACGCUGGCGGCAGGCCUAACACAUGCAAGUCGAGCGGAGCGGCGGACGGGCGAGUAAGGCCUAGGAAUCUGCCUGGUAGUGGGGGAUAACGUCCGGAAACGGGCGCUAAUACCGCAUACUCUCAGAUGAGCCUAGUUCGGAUUAGCUAGUUGGUGGGGAAAAGGCCUACCAAGGCGACGAUCCGUAACUGGUCGUAGAGGAUGAUCAGCCACACUGGGACUGAGACACGGUCCAGACUCCUACGGGAGGCAGCAGGGGGGAAUAUUGGACAAUGGGCGAAAGCCUGAUCCAGCCAUGCCGCGUGUGUGAAGAAGGUCUUCGGGUUUUAAAGCACUUUCAGUUGGGAGGCGUUACCAACAGAAUAAGCACCGGCUAACUUCGUGCCAGCAGCCGCGGUAAUAC
rnacentral:rRNA from 1 species